AUUGAACGCUGGCGGCAGGCCUAACACAUGCAAGUCGAACGAGUGGCGGACGGGUGAGUAAUGUCUGGGAACCUGCCCGAUGGUGGGGGAUAACUACUGUAAACGGUAGCUAAUACCGCAUACCCUCGGAUGUGCCCAGAUGGGUUUAGCUAGUAGGUGGGGUAACGGCUCACCUAGGCGACGAUCCCUAGCUGGUCUGAGAGGAUGACCAGCCACCCUGGAACUGAGACACGGUCCAGACUCCUACGGGAUGCAGCAGUGGGGAAUAUUGCACUAUGGGCGCAAGCCUGAUGCAGCCAUGCCGCGUGUAGGAAGAAGGCCUUCGGGUUGUAAAGUACUUUCAGCGAGGAGGCUUUACUCGCAGAAGAAGCACCGGCUAACUCCGUGCCAGCAGCCGCGGUAAUUC
rnacentral:rRNA from 1 species